rnacentral:rRNA from 1 species
CGCCGCCUUCCAGCUUGCUGGGGUACCGAGUGGCGAACGGGUGAGUAACACGUGGGUGACCUGCCCCGCACUUCGGGAUAAGCCUGGGAAACUGGGUCUAAUACCGGAUAGGACCGCACCGUGAGGGUGUGGUGUAAAGUUUUUCGGUGUGGGAUGGGCCCGCGGCCUAUCAGCUUGUUGGUGGGGUAAUGGCCUACCAAGGCGGCGACGGGUAGCCGGCCUGAGAGGGUGGACGGCCACAUUGGGACUGAGACCGGUCAAUCUAUAUACGGGAGGCAGCAGUGGGGAAUAUUGCACAAUGGGCGGAAGCCUGAUGCAGCGACGCCGCGUGGGGGAUGACGGCCUUCGGGUUGUAAACUCCUUUCACCAUCGACGAAGGUUUUCUGACGGUAGAUGGAGAAGAAGCACCGGCUAACUACGUGCCAGCAGCCGCGGUAAUACGUAGGGUGCGAGCGUUGUCCGGAAUUACUGGGCGUAAAGAGCUCGUAGGUGGUUUGUCGCGUCGUCUGUGAAAUUCCGGGGCUUAACUCCGGGCGUGCAGGCGAUACGGGCAUAACUUGAGUACUGUAGGGGAGACUGGAAUUCCUGGUGUAGCGGUGAAAUGCGCAGAUAUCAUGAGGAACACCGGUGGCGAAGGCGGGUCUCUGGGCAGUAACUGACGCUGAGGAGC